rnacentral:rRNA from 1 species
CUUGCUUCUCUUGAGAGCGGCGGACGGGUGAGUAAUGCCUAGGAAUCUGCCUGGUAGUGGGGGAUAACGUCCGGAAACGGACGCUAAUACCGCAUACGUCCUACGGGAGAAAGCAGGGGACCUUCGGGCCUUGCGCUAUCAGAUGAGCCUAGGUCGGAUUAGCUAGUUGGUGGGGUAAUGGCUCACCAAGGCGACGAUCCGUAACUGGUCUGAGAGGAUGAUCAGUCACACUGGAACUGAGACACGGUCCAGACUCCUACGGGAGGCAGCAGUGGGGAAUAUUGGACAAUGGGCGAAAGCCUGAUCCAGCCAUGCCGCGUGUGUGAAGAAGGUCUUCGGAUUGUAAAGCACUUUAAGUUGGGAGGAAGGGCAGUAAAUUAAUACUUUGCUGUUUUGACGUUACCGACAGAAUAAGCACCGGCUAACUCUGUGCCAGCAGCCGCGGUAAUACAGAGGGUGCAAGCGUUAAUCGGAAUUACUGGGCGUAAAGCGCGCGUAGGUGGUUCGUUAAGUUGGAUGUGAAAUCCCCGGGCUCAACCUGGGAACUGCAUUCAAAACUGACGAGCUAGAGUAUGGUAGAGGGUGGUGGAAUUUCCUGUGUAGCGGUGAAAUGCGUAGAUAU